AGCGACUAGAACAGUCCAAUGAUUUCUCUUUCUCUUUUGUUCUAUGAUUUACAUCAAUGACAGACUUCAGCAGGUUUCACUUCAAAGCAGCGCUGUCUCUUUAAAACCUGAUGCCGUACAUGUCGUGGAUGAUGGAUCUGACACAUAUUCGAUUUUCUCCCAACUCUUUUCAGUCAUUUAAAACUUUAUAACUCAUUUAAGACUACGUUUACGAGGUAACUCGCCAAAACCUCGUAUUUUGACAUAAUUGUGUGCGUUUUCGUCCGCUGAAGCGCUAUGGUGCGCUGUCUGAAGCGACUCUCUGUAUGUAUACAGCCGAACGCGCAGCCUUUCAAACUAUAUACUGCACUGCACCGUUUCCUAUGUGUCGGGUCAUGAAGAAUAAAGAAAAGUUAAUCUUCCGAAAUGAAGCAGCAAAAUCUUCUCAGGUAAAAGUUAUUAGAACCGUGUCUAGGGACAAGCUGGCAUCACACUGCUCUGACCGUAUCAGCCCGUUUGUAUAGCUAUUAUUAUUUGAUUCGCUCUUGUCGCUUAUGACAGAACAGCUAAUCACGUUGACGUUGUCUUUGGAAAAGAUGAUUUUAUUUGCUUAUGUCAGAAACAGCGAAUCUCUUUAAAACUGGCUGUUGUUUUCACUAUAUUGCAUUGUAAUAUUUCAUAAAAGUUGUACCCGCCAACUGGCGACUGACACUGUUACAUUUACUCGCCAACGCAGAUUUUUACUCGAAUUUGGCGCUUGGCGAGUGUUGAUUUUAGGCCUUGGUUCUAACCCUUCCUCUCCAAAUCAGUAAUUCUAAUUAUUGACAUAUGUCAUGAAUAUGAAAGAGGUUUUAUGCAUGUUUAUGACAACUGUGUCAUUUGCUCAGUUAUGUCAUUUCUAAUGCAAAGAUGACAUUAUUUGACCUAACCCUACCCCUACACUCUUAGAAAAAAAGGUACACGGCACGCUAGUCCUCUGUUUAAUCUGCACACUAACAUGGUUGCAAGUUCUUUAGUUAUCAUGUGAUGUAAGAUGCCAUGCAGCUCUUUUAUUGACGAGCAACAUACUCAUAUGGAGUUUCAGUGUUUCAUUUAAAAUGGCUAUUCUUGUAACUCAUCCAUCCAAACAGAUGCAUAAAAUGAUUUUUGACAUAAACGGAAAACAACUUGAAUGUGUAUCUAUGCGCUUAUCAGUUUUGUCUCGUAUGCACAGCGCUGCAUUUCAGUCGCGCGCCUCUCGCGAGAGUGAUCACAUAAAAGCGCGCGGCCGCUGUUUAAACUUCAACGGUUCACGGUGGGCUGACUACGCUCAGCGCUCGGGAGAACGACGAUUACAUUGCAACCCGUUUCUUUCAAGAAGCUAAAAGAAGAAAGGUGGUUUAUCGCGUUGUCCAGGUCCGCGCAAUUCUCCGCCGGGAGAUCGGACCUAUACAUAUACAGGACAAGAUGAAACAAAGUUUCCGUCAAAUCGCCGUCAGACAGCCGUUAUAAACAUGAAUUCAAACCAAGAAGAACAAAGAGAGAAGCAGCUGAUGGAGAUGUUUCCAUUUUUCUGUGGAUAACUAUGUUUAUCUAUCCCAGAGAGCACUGUUAAAGUUUUAGCUCCACCUUAUCAGAGCUGAAAAGAGGAAACAUGACCAACCUGCUGCAAAACAAUAACACAAAAGGUCUGGACUCUGGCGUGCAGCAUUACUUGUUUGGUCAUCUACAUUCAGAUGAAAACACCACACUUCUCCCUAAUUCAAGAUGUCAAGCCUACUCAACGCAAAGAGAGUUAGCAUCAAAAUGGACGUGUCACUGACCAAUAACACAGAGAUGCCAGAAGUAUCUGUUUGCAGUCUACUUUUUGUUCAGUAUGGAGCAUCCAAAAUCCAUCACUCAGUUAAUUUCAAUCAUUACUAUUUAGCCCUUCCCAGUGCUGAAAUUGUCCUGGGUCCUUUGUUUUUAUUGUUUAAAUGCUUAUCUGAAUGUAAAAUUAAUAUUUAAUGCUUAUAAAUAAAUAAAAAACAAUACUAUGGUUACUCUUUUAGCUCCCUUUUCAGAAAUAUGUGGUUCACCAUUUUUCAUGGGUUACAGAACUGGGGAAAGUUGCAGCAUACAAAAAAAAAGUCAAACUACUUGGUUUAUGGGUUUAUAGGAGAAUGUGGAGUAAAUACUUGACAUUUAUUUAAGGUAAAGGGUAAUGACCUGGUGGUGAGAUGCAAAAUAAGAUUGUCAUUAAUAUACUAUUUGAUGACAAACUUCACAUUCUAAUUCUACUUAUGUAUUUAAUUUUUUUAAGUUAACUUUAUUUAUUUGUGCAAGUUAACAUUCAAUUAUUAUUUAUUUAUUUUUGGUGGUGGUUUCUAGCAAUCAACAUAUAUUUGUGACUGACAUGUUGGAUGGGUGAGUAAGGUGGAGGGGGUUGAAAAAAACAAUAUUUCUAAAAUGGAGAGUGCUAUUUUAGGUU